GCACAGUCUUGUUUUCGUGCAGCUCAGCCUUCCCACAGGCUGCGGUUUCAGCAGCUGACAGCACCGGGCGCCCCGCAGCCAGGUGUGACCGCACGGGGUCGGUUCGGAGCGAAGGAGAAGAGAGGGGAGCUGAGAUCAAGAAUGAGGAGAACAGAACCCUGGGGAAGGUGCUGUGGUCCAGGUGGCUCCUGGCUGCACCCAGCCCAAUGUCCCGCAGCAUCUCCACAUGGCUCUCCUACAGAGGAAGGGGUGGGCAGAGCACAGGCAAUGCCGUUCCACGUUUUGCUCUCUUCCCUCCUUCACCCCUUCGUGCACCGCUCCAGCACAGCACAGCGUGGUCCAUUCAAAACCCACCCACAGAGGAACCAAUUCAGGCCUAAAAUCUACCAGAAAUCCCCCCAAAUCACCCUCUUCGUACUCACUUUUGCCCCUGGCUUUGCUGUGCCCGUUUAAGACAAGUGCUGGGUCCCAUCAGAGCUGCUCAGAACGAUGCUCCCCCUGCUGCCUUUCAACCAACGGCCCCAGCUCCCUCCGAGCAGCCUCACCAACCCCACCAUAAACUGCUCCAAAAAUGACAAAUUCCUCCCACGAAAACAGGAGGACGGAGAUUCCUCCGAGCUGCUCCAUCCUGAGCGCAGGCAGGGAAGGGAGAACACAGAGAGAGCAUCCAAUGGUGCAAAUCCCUCACCAUGUACAGAAGUUUGAUUUAUUUACUGGGGCCAGAGGUACUAAAAAGCUUGGACAGGAAUUUGCACUAAACCUUUGACACACAAGACAUUUCCCUUUCUGGCCAAGACAAACAAAGGAAGGAAGUGUCUGGGACAUUUAAAGCGACCUAGUGGAGACAGGUAAGGGCAGAUAAGGGCUGAAGGAAGAGCGGGUUGGGCAAGGGAAGCAUCUCGUUCUAAAGAUUUGUUGGAUUCCUUCAACUCUGCAGAUCAGGGCUGGGGGAGGCAGAACUGCUUGGGGGGAACUGUUUGCAAUGGGAGAAACACUGCUGCAGUGCUCAGCGCUGGGUUUCCCCUUGCCCAUCCUUUUUCUGCAUGCCCAGUGCCUAUCCUACAGCCCACAGGACUGCGAUGCCCGUGAGCUGACCACCAUCCAUCUCCUGACAAAUGAUGCU
ensembl:lncRNA